rnacentral:tRNA from 1 species
AGGUAGUUAGUUUAAAAAAAAUCUUUGAUUUCGGCUCAAAAGCUUGUGGUUAAACUCCAUAAUUACCUA